GUGCUCAAUUCCACGGCAUACAUACUUAAGUUGGAAUACAGGGCAGAUUAGCAUGACUCUGCGCAAGGGUGGCAUGCAAAUCUGUGAAGUGUUCAAUAUUUUU